AUUGAACGCUGGCGGCAGGCCUAACACAUGCAAGUCGAACGCGUGGCGGACGGGAGUGUAAUGUCUGUGAACUUGCUCGAAGGAUGGGAGAAACUCAUGGAACCGGUAGCUAAUACCGCAAACCAUAGCAUUUGCCCAGAAGGGAUUAGCUAGUAGGUGGGGUAACGGCUCACCUAGUCGACGAUCCCUAGCUGGUCUGAGAGGAUGACCAGCCACACUGGAACUGAGACACGGUCCAGACUCCUACGGGAGGCAGCAGUGGGGAAUAUUGCACAAUGGGCGCAAGCCUGAUGCAGCCAUGCCGCGUGUAUGAAGAAGGCCUUCGGGUUGUAAAGUACUUUCAGCGAGGAGGCGUUACUCGCAGAAGAAGCACCGGCUAACUCCGUGCCAGCAGCCGCGGUAAUUC
rnacentral:rRNA from 1 species